ACUCCUACGGGUAGGCAGCAGUGGGGGAAUAUUGCACAAUGGGCGCAAGCCUGAUGCAGCCAUGCCGCGUGUAUGAAGAAGGCCUUCGGGUUGUAAAGUACUUUCAGCAGUGAGGAAGGUGGGUAUGUUAAUAGCAUAUUCAUUUGACGUUAGCUGCAGAAGAAGCACCGGCUAACUCCGUGCCAGCAGCCGCGGUAAUACGGAGGGUGCGAGCGUUAAUCGGAAUUACUGGGCGUAAAGCGCAUGCAGGUGGUUUGUUAAGUCAGAUGUGAAAGCCCGGGGCUCAACCUCGGAAUUGCAUUUGAAACUGGCAAACUAGAGUACUGUAGAGGGGGUAGAAUUUCAGGUGUAGCGGUGAAAUGCGUAGAGAUCUGAAGGAAUACCGGUGGCGAAGGCGGCCCCCUGGACAGAUACUGACACUCAGAUGCGAAAGCGUGGGGAGCAAACAGGAUUAGAUACCCUCGGUAG
rnacentral:rRNA from 1 species